rnacentral:rRNA from 1 species
AUUUAAUUGAAGAGUUUGAUCAUGGCUCAGAUUGAACGCUGGCGGCAGCCCUUAUACAUGCAAGUCGAACGAGAAAGUUCCUUCGGGAGCGAGUAAAGUGGCGGACGGGUGAGUAACGCGUAGGAAUCUACCUUUCAGUGGGGGAUAGCUCGGGGAAACUCGAAUUAAUACCGCAUACACCCUUCGGGGGAAAGGGGGCCUCUCCUUGGAAGCUCUCGCUGUUAGAUGAGCCUGCGUGAGAUUAGCUUGUUGGUAAGGUAAUGGCUUACCAAGGCUACGAUCUCUAGCUGGUCUGAGAGGACGAUCAGCCACACUGGGACUGAGACACGGCCCAGACUCCUACGGGAGGCAGCAGUAGGGAAUAUUG